AGCGAACGCUGGCGGCAGGCUUAACACAUGCAAGUCGAGCGGGCCCUUUCGGGGGUCAGCGGCAGACGGGUGAGUAACACGUGGGAACGUGCCCUUCGGUUCGGAAUAACUCAGGGAAACUUGAGCUAAUACCGGAUACGCCCUUAUGGGGAAAGGUUUACCGCCGAAGGAUCGGCCCGCGUCUGAUUAGCUAGUUGGUGGGGUAACGGCCUACCAAGGCGACGAUCAGUAGCUGGUCUGAGAGGAUGAUCAGCCACACGGGGACUGAGACACGGCCCAGACUCCCACGGGAGGCAGCAGUGGGGAAUAUUGGACAAUGGGCGCAAGCCUGAUCCAGCCAUGCCGCGUGAGUGAUGAAGGCCUUAGGGUUGUAAAGCUCUUUUGUCCGGGACGAUAAUGACGGUACCGGAAGAAUAAGCCCCGGCUAACUUCGUGCCAGCCGCCGCAGUAA
rnacentral:rRNA from 1 species